ACAAUUUGUACUGUGUGCUCGAGCAGCUGGUACAAAAACAAUUAUAAUAAUAAUAGCGAAGCAAUUAAAAAUAACAUAUGAUCGGGUUUUUGACAAUUUUCAACACGAGCGUUAUUUUCGUAGCUCCUUUCGUUGCGCGACUGCCGCUUUGUAUUCCGGUCUAAUAAGUCUGUCGUAAGAGGGCAGACGACUCGCACGUGUUUGUUUAGACUGUGUACGGUUUGGAAGCGAAAGCACCUGCCUUCCGAAAACUUAAAGAAAAAUAUUGUAACAAAAUUUCGAAUUUUUAUAAUUUGGAAAGGAAUUGAAAGUAAUUGGACUAAAGUAAAAUAAAUAUGCAGCUUUGAGUAAGCAGUCAGUAUACAGAAACAAAACAAAGAAAAAUAAGAAAAAUCUUGAUUGUUUGCUAUAAUUGGAAAAUCGAUAAUUUUCUUGGCUAACGUAAACAUUACCGUGUGCGAAACGACAAAGCACGUGCUUUCUUCUAAUUAGUAAACAACCGAAUAACUUGCAUUCCAAGAAGUCGCUGUCAGACUUUACAUUCAAGUAGAUGAAGAUAAAAAAUAAUCUUUAAGUUGAUACUCGACGUGAAAAGCUUUAUAUAGAAACAUACUUACAUACAUAAAUACGUAACUUGAAUAGCUUGAAUAAGUCUUUCGUUACCCGAGAACAGUUCAAUUAAGAUGUCAGUCAUGACGCCGGAGAAAUCAAUUUUAGCAUACUUCAAUCACUUCAUAGUGAGCAACUUUUCAUAUUUACUUGAUGAGAUUGACGGCUAUUUGUAUUACUUCGGUGGUACGGCGGGCGUUAUCACAAUAACUGGUAUUGCAGCAGCGGCUACUUAUUAUUUAAAAUCGCGCCCCAUACCGGAAAAGCCGCUAGUGCCUCUGGAUAAUCAAGCGCCAAUAUUGGAGGUAAGUGGAACAAUUUAUAAGAUUAA